GAUUGUUGUGUUUAGGUAGCGUGUGCUGAGGGCAUAAAUACUAUUUUCAAUGCUAGGGAAUGAUUUAUCAUUAAUGUGGCUCUUUCUUUUAAGAGGGCAGACACUAUUUUUAUUUCCUUUAUUUUUCCACUUUAAUUGCCAUAAUUUCACAAGAGUCCAAAUCCCUAAUUUCCCUCCCUCAUAUUCAAUUUGAAUUUCACCAAAAUUCCUUGCAACCUUGUCUGCUAGUUCCAG
rnacentral:lncRNA from 1 species